UAAAGACAAACAUCGCGCCGGAGAGACUCAUCAACGUUAAAUAGAGCUGAUUCGGAAGCAAUUGGAGUCUGGCAUGCACGCGCAGCGCGUCAGACAGAGUGUUGACUAGAGAUGUAGUCGCAUUCAUGACUUCCGUUCUACAGUCUACUAGUAGCUCUCAAUAAAGUUGGACAGGAAGUCCUCUUUCCUACAGAGUGUGUAAAUGAACGGACAUGACAGCAAGCAGACAAUAGGUGCAACAUUGCUGAUAUGAGUGGACAAGCAACUGGUAGUGUUGAUCAUCUUGGCAUUGUGCUUGCAGCCAUCGCAGUCUGUUGAUGUGGAGUGCAUUGGAAGCAAGGGAGAUCCGGGUGUUCCCGGAGUUUCUGGUCCUCCAGGAAGACAGGUGAGUAAUGGAUGUAGAAUAUAUAUAUUGAGGUAGUAGUCAUUAUAAGUGCUAAACCCAUGGCUGCUAGCUUUGGCAACAUGGAACAGCUCUACUGCACAUGCAAGAAAUGACAUGCUUGACUAGACUGCCAGGUGUACAGUGUUCGGGUAAUUGACAUGAAGAGAAUACGUGAGAAGAGGGCUGGAUACAUUGACUAUCACUCUUGUGUAAUUAACACCAGCGAUAACAAUGGGCGCAUGCGCUGCAUUUCAAUUCUCUGGUCGUUGGUUCAGCCGUCAUCAGUGGUAGUACUGGAACUGUAGCAGAUGCAAAUCAUGAGUGAAAUAUCAGUGUUUU